rnacentral:tRNA from 1 species
ACUUGAAUAGCUUAAAUUUUUAAAGCAUAACUCUGAAGAAGUUAAUAUAGGUAUCACCUUUUAAGUA